ACUCAAAUGAAUAGACGGGGGCCCGCACAAGCGGUGGAGCAUGUGGUUCAAUUCGAAGCAACGCGCAGAACCUUACCAACCUUUGACAUCCCGAUCGCGGGCACCAGAGAUGGAGCCUUUCAGUUCGGCUGGAUCGGAGACAGGUGCUGCAUGGCUGUCGUCAGCUCGUGUCGUGAGAUGUUGGGUUAAGUCCCGCAACGAGCGCAACCCUCGCCCUUAGUUGCCAUCAUUCAGUUGGGCACUCUAAGGGGACUGCCGGUGAUAAGCCGGAGGAAGGUGGGGAUGACGUCAAGUCCUCAUGGCCCUUACAGGUUGGGCUACACACGUGCUACAAUGGCGGUGACAGAGGGAUGCAAUGGAGUAAUCCUGCGCAAAUCUCAAAAAGCCGUCUCAGUUCGGAUUGUGCUCUGCAACUCGAGCACAUGAAGUUGGAAUCGCUAGUAAUCGCAGAUCAGCACGCUGCGGUGAAUACGUUCCCGGGCCUUGCACACACCGCCCGU
rnacentral:rRNA from 1 species